rnacentral:ncRNA from 2 species
AGUAUCGGGCCGUCGCAAGGUUCUUCCGGCAGACCGCCGGGAGCUAAGAGGGAAGCCGGUGCGCCCGCCAGGGUUAUUCCGGAGCUGCCCCCGCAACUGUAAGUGGUGAGCUUGCUGCCGCCCGUGUCACUGGUGCCCUGCACCGGGAAGGCCAGGCAUCGAGCGUUGACCCGCGAGCCAGGAAACCUGCCUUCGGCGCAUACGUCCU